GACAGAGGCCUCAAGCGUUGCUCGGAAUCACUGGGCGUAAAGCGCACGUAGGCGGCUUUCUAAGUCAGGGGUGAAAUCCUGGAGCUCAACUCCAGAACUGCCUUUGAUACUGGAGAGCUUGAGUCCGGGAGAGGUGAGUGGAACUCCGAGUGUAGAGGUGAAAUUCGUAGAUAUUCGCAAGAACACCAGUGGCGAAGGCGGCUCACUGGCCCGAUACUGACGCUGAGGUGCGAAAGCGUGGGGAGCAAACAGG
rnacentral:rRNA from 1 species